CUGUUAUGUGUGGUCAGACUAUGGACUGUCAUGGAGUAAUGGCCAGCUGUCACUCAUGCCAACAAAAGCAGGCCUAGCACUAGUUUAGAAGUUAGCACUUGGAAGAAAAUGAAGAGUGACUUAUGAGGAGCAGUGGCAGAAGCAAGCGGAAGUGAGAAGGUGCUGCAGGAUGACUGGGAGAGCAAAACCAAAUGUACCACGCGGGAGGCCUGGCAGGACACAGGGCUUUCGUCAUCGGGUUUCCAUUAAUUCCUGGAACCAGAGCCUCCCUGGCACAAGGGCAAGGAAGACAGGCUGAUUUUAUGCUCAGAAAUUGGCUUAGGGCUGGUGAAAUGUCUCAGUGGGCCAGGGCUGGUAAAGGCACUUGCUGUCAAUCCUGAUGGCCUGAGUUUGAUCUCUGGGACCAAAUGGUAUAAAGAUGGAAUUGACUCCUAGCUGUCUUCAGGGCAUAUGUGCAGUGGCGUAUUCGCAUGUGGGAGUGUGCACACACAAUACUCUCUCUGUCUCUCUCUUGCAAGAAGUAAAAUCUAAUAAAAUAAGCUUUAAAAAAA